rnacentral:lncRNA from 1 species
UAAGAGGGAAGGCAGUGAUUAUUUGCCUUUGCUCACCACGCAUCGCAUAGAAAAAAAAUUAUAAAAAAUCCGGCUCGCCCGCUAUAGCUUUUUCUCCAAGGAAUCAAAACCCUAGCAUUCUGAAAACCCUAUAUAAGCCCAACCCUAGCCGUUUUUCCAGUAUCAGUCCAUCAAAGGGUAAAAAGAAAGAAAGAAAAAACCUAGCCGCUAUUCUGGUAUCUCUUUGAUUCUAUUUUUCUAUUGUUUCUCAAAAAUGCUAUUUAGUCUUUAUGAUAUUUGCAUCGGAUUUACCCUCUUCUUGUGCCAGCAGAUUUGCUGUAUGUAUAAGGAGUUAUAGCUGAUGCAUAAACUGAAAAGGUUGGCUUACCAGCCCAUUGCACUUUGUACUCUAUUGCUUUGGGGUCAAAUGGACCUUCCGAUAUUUAUAUGUUUUUCCCUCUGUUUUACUUGAUAAUUUGAUGGCUCUGUACAUGGCAAAUGAUGAUACUUUUGUUUACACUGAAUAAUCAUGUGGAUUAUAAACUCCGCUUAUUAUCUGAUGCCAUCAAUUUCUUUUUCUAGUUGUUCCUAUACUUAAAUUUGUUUGGAAUUUGUCAGAGAAUUUUUAGUCUUAAUGGGUAAAUUCUUAAUUCUUGCUCUUUGAUGAGAGAAAAGCAGACGGGCGGUCAGAACCUGAUGCCGUGUUGAAUGUCUGCAUAACUUCCUUUCAGGGAAUUUCUCUGAGAGCUAUAGCUAUUCUAAUUUUGUUUGUUUGAGGUUGUAAUUUUUCUGUCUGCUGUGCCUUUUUGCUUCUAUAUAAAUGUCACUCAUUUCAUCAGCUUGCAGUGAUGAUCUUGCUAAAAAUAUGUCUGGACUUGUGAAAAUUGGUCAUGAUUAAUUGAUUGCAAAUUCUGAGCAGCUUUAUUCACUACCCAAUAUUCUUGCACCAAUGGGAGAAUUGUAUUUCCUUGCUGCUUGCACAAAUAGCCCUUUUCAAUGUGCCUUGGCGCCCAGUUUUGGCACUUGUAAAAAUAGCCCACUUCCUUUGAAUUUGUACCUUUGUCCAUCUGAUGCUGCUACUUACUAUAAUUCCUCGAUCUUUUGAUGUGAAGUUUGUAGCUAUUCCAUCGCCAAUGUCCCAUUCAUCAUGCCAGUACCAGUUACACACAUUGUAUUUCCUCAUGUACAUGCUAACUAGUUUUGGCCAGAACCUGAUUCUCCUUCUCUUGUUGUACCUGUUUUGCAGUGAUCUACUGCUGUUCCUUAUUGGACUCUCUGCACGAUUGAUGUCCUGUGUCAUCCCCCUCUUUUGUUGUAUUGAUAUACACCCCCAUUGUGAGUAGAGUAGUAACAUAAAAACCUGAAAAAAUGCCUGCUCAUUUGUCGUGUUCUGCCUUGUUCUAGUAUAUAGAUGUUGAGCCUCUUUGUAUGUCUAGGCCAUGUGGUUCUUUCAUGCUUCUUUCCUUGGUUUAUCCUCUGAGAAUUAGACUUGUUAAGCAGUACUGAGGUAGUGAAUCUCCAUGUGUUCAUUUCUUCCAAAGGAUUUGCCAUGUGAUACUGGGCAUAUGACUUGCCCCUUCCUUUGAUAGUUACUAUGCUUGUGCUUAACCAUGACUCCCCUUCAAUGGAUUGAGUACAUGGUACUAAUACCAUCAUUUGAAGGAUCAUCAUUAUACAAGGCAUAGUCACAGUAAUGUCACCUGCAAACCAAAAAAAAAUAAUGUUAGUGAAAAACUUCAUUCCCAUUUUCUCCUCCCUAAGGAUUUGAAAAUGGAGAAUGACUUUGCUUUGUUCAUCCAGGCAUCUGUUAUCUAUUCUGUUAAAAACCUGCUUUCCUAUGUGUUAGACUUCCAAAGAGUACACUCCAUACACCGGAAUUGAUUAUUGUUAUACCAAAUAAAAUCUCUGUGAUUAGCCACUGUAUCCUCUUGUUUUUCAGCAAAUUUCCUCUGGUUAUUUCUUCCUGUGAGUCACACUUGUUUUGUCUCUCAUUGUAUUCAUAAGCUCCAAUAUUUGCCUGGCUUCCAAUAUCCCUCGAACUAACCUUCCAUUCUUUUGAAAAACCAAUUCCACACUGCCCAAUUCUUUUAAACAUUCUGGGCAAUUUUGCGUUGUCCUUUAUUUGAGAGUUCCCAUUGCAUAUCUCCCACUCCUCAUCGCUGAAAAUCGCACUCCCAUCAACCUCACAUUGCCUAAUUCUUUUAAACAUUUUGGGCACUUCUGUGAUUUUUCUUGAUAUUGCUAGACUCCAUGUAUGAAUCUUUGAUUUAUUUAUGCUGCUGGUGCCUUUCCACUUCAAGUCUAUGCCUUUGUCUACCCUGAAAUUCCUCCCAUUGGGCUGAGUGCAUUACACUAAUUGGAAGGUCAUUAAAGAGUAGAGCAUAAAGGCAUGUUCUAUACCUGCAAAAGAGAAAAAGCUAUAAGUAAAUAAAAUUCUCAUCAUGCUCUCCUCCAUAUGGAUUUGAGCAUUGACAUGGCUGCUUUUGAAGCCUCCUUCUUCUUGCCCUUGUCCUCCCUUCCCUUUCUACUUUGUUCCACUCUUACUCUUAGAUAUGGACAUUGCAGUUUAUAACUAUUUAUAAUUUUUCUCCCUUUGACAUCAAGCUCCCAAAAACUAUGACACUCCAAAGGACCUGUGUCAAUAGCAUAAUUUGCAAGGUGAUCUGCUAGUUGAUUACCCUCUCUAAGUGUGUGAGAAAUCUGCACAUUACAUCUGCUCGUUAAAUCCUUUAUUUCCUCAACUUCUGCAGCAACUGUCCAUGGUGUAUCCACAUUCCUUGUAUCACAUUUUUCACCAUCAUUGAAUCUGUAUGUAGAGUAUAUAGUCAUUGUCCACACAGAACUUCAAGUCGUCUAAGAUAGCCUUCACCUCAGCUUCUGUGUUUGUUCCUUCUUGGAUUUCUUUGCCACAAGCAUAAACAUCAUUUCCUUCCUCAUUUCUUGACACAUACCCUAUUGAGCUUCUUCCUGGGUUGCCUCUAGAUAACCCAUAUGUAUUUACUUUUAUCCAACCCUGCUCAGGAAAUUCCUAUAGAACCUUAGUAUAUUUCAACUUAGGUGUAUACUGCUCCAUCAUAGAUAUUAAAUAUGGCCAUUUGUGUGGGAUAUUUUGCAAGCUUGUCUUCCUGAUUUCACCAAUGAUUGAAGCAUUGUUGAGACCUGAUAUAUAACUCUAUUGAAAGAAACAGGCUUCCCAUAUUUAUAGUCAUUUCACCUUUUUCAUAAUUCUCACACUAUAAUCAAUGUCAUAGCUUGCAUGAUUGGUUGUAGUCUUGGAACUGUCUGCAAAGUCCAGCAUCUCACAAUCGCUUGAUGGAAGGUAAAUCUCUCCACAUUAAUUCCUGUAGCUUGUAGGAACUAGUUCCACACCUUUGUGGCAGAAUAUGAAGUGAAGAAAAGGUGUGGCAUUGUCUCUUCAUUUGACAGUACACAACACCAGCAUUUGGAAGCCAUUAAGUAUCCCAAUCUUUUGAAAAAAUCAUCCAAAGGUAACUUGUUCUUCCAAACCUUCCACAUGAAAAAUGACACUUUGAAUGGCAGCCCCUUUACCCAAAUAUUUCUAUAUGCAGUAUUAGGAUCUCUUCUUCUCCUCACAUAAUCAUACGCAAACUUUGCACUAAAAUCACCUCUUGGUUCCAGUUUCCACAUAGGUUUGUCCAAUAUUCCAUCAUGAAUUGGUGGAUUCAAUUGAUGCUCGAUAUAUGUAGAUAAAUCUGCCGACAGCAAUUGAUUAAGCAGCAUCAUAUUCCCACCUAUUCCCUUGUAACAUUUCAUACACGUUUUGUAUAGAUUCAUCACCGAAGAAAUCAAGUGGAGUGACAAAAUAAAGAGCACCUAGACCUUUCCAGUUGUCUAACCAGAACAAUGAUGAACCAAUCUUUGGUUUCCAUGCUAUUUGAUGCUCUAUACUGUCCCUACACUUGUGAUCCAAGUCUCCAAGCAACAACGAUAGCAUUCAACUUUUUACAGUAUUUUUGACUCAUAAAGGAACUCCACAAUGAAGGCUUUGUUCUAAAUUUCCACCAACGUUUGCAAAAUAGAGCUUUGGACACAUCGUGUAAUGAUAUAAACCAUAUUCCUCCUUAAAAUUGUAAAGCAUAGAUUGUCCCACGAGGCCCAAUGCUUACUCCUUCCAUCUACAGUAUUACUCCAAAAAAAUCUGGCCAACAACUUAUGUAUUCUACUGAUAACAAAUGGUGGGGCAUUGAUUGCAGAUAACAAAUGUAUGGGCAUACUUUGUAGAAUAUGUAAAAUAAGGACUGCUGUACCUCCUAUAGACAAUAAUUUUCCCUUCCAUGACUGAAUUUUAUCUAGGAUUUUAUUGAUUAAUCCUUGAUAAUAUUCCAGUUUUCUGUGAGCAUAGAAAAUUGGGCAUCCCAAAUAUGUAAAUGGAAAGUCUUGCUUCCCUAUUCCAGUAACUCUUUCCACUUUCCUUACCACUGCUUCAUCAGUUAAAUGAUGUAAAUAUAUAGCUGACUUAUCUUUGUUAAUUAGUUGUCCAGAUGCUGCCUCACACACUGCCAAAACUUCCAUUAUCAAUCUUAAUGAAGUUUCAUCAGAAGAAAAAAAGAUGAGUCAUCUGCAUAAGACAAAUGAUUGAUCUUUGGGCUCCAUUUUGGCAUACCAUACUAACAAAAGUAUAAGUUAAAGUGGAGAGCAUUUAGCCCUCUUAAUAGAGCCUCUACUGCAAUAAUGAAUAAUAUAGGUGAAAGUGGAUCAUAUUGCUUUACCCCCCUUGUCGACUUGAAAAAAUCAUUUAAUUGUCCAUUUAAAAGAACAGAAUACCAGUUAUUUGAAAUUGUUCCAAAUACUAAGCCAAUAAAUCUCUAAUCGAAUUCCAUCCUUCUCAUUACGUUUGUCAAGAAAAUCCAUGACAAUUGAUCAUAUGCCUUGGCCAUGUCUAACUUCAUAAUCACAUUAGGACCUGCCUUAGUUCUCAUCAAAAUAUCUGUAACUAUUUCCUGAGUUAACAAGACAUUUCUACAAUACUUCGACCUUUGACACUUCCUGCUUGUUCAUCUGAUAUUAUAUUAAGGAGUAAGCUAACUUGUCUUUCAUGAAUCACACGAGAGAAUACCUUGUUAAUGAAGUUGCUGAGACUUAUAGGUCACAUAUCUGAGCAUGUUUUGAUCUCCUUCUUCUUAGGCAACAAUACUAGAUUCGUAUGUGUAAUGAACCUUGGUAAUUCCUGCCCAGCAAAGAAUGCCUUAACCAUUUCAACCACAUCCACACCAACUAUAUCCCAACAUGUCUGAAGAAAAUGGCCAUUGAGCCCACUGGCGCCACCAGCAUUGUCAGCAUUAAGUCCAAAGACUACCUUUUUUAUUUCUUCAACUGUAGGUAUGCUUGUCAACAUCUAUUCUGAUCUGUAGUGACCAUAUAAGGGACAUGAUUGAUUAUUCAAAAUUCAGUAGGAACCUUAUCUUCAUGGAACUGAGUUUGGAAAAAAUUCACAGCUUCCUAUGCUAUUUCUGAUAUAUCUUCAAUCCAGUCUCCAUCCUUAUUUUGAAUUCUUUUCAACUGUAGUCUCUUCCUUUUACCGUUACAUAGGCAUUGUAACACUCCUCUAAUUUAUAUAAACUUCAAGGCUUGUUAAAUAUAGAAUUUAAUUUUUUUUUGUCUUCCUUAUGGAUUUAAACCCAUGUAAUUGAUUUUUAAAUUACUUCCCAAUUUAUAUAAAUAGUUGGAUUAUAAUUAUGAGAAUAUUAAAAGAUUAAUAUUUUUAAUUAUUAGAAAUGGGUAUCAUUAAUUAUUAAUUAAGUAAAAAAACAAAUAACAAAAAAAAAUGGAAGGGACAUUACAAAGCCUAUAAUGGGCUGUUGGAACAAAAAAGAAGGGCUUAAGGCCUAAAAAGGCCUAACCUUGGACGUAAGCAGUAGGAGUAAAAAUUGCACCGGAACAGAACGUUGUUCUGUUACACAGAAAACGCUGCAAACACAGGCAACAAUAAAAGAAAAUUUAGGGUUCUUUAUCAAUCACUAAUUCUUGAACUCAGGUAAGUAAAUUUCCCUAUUGUUAGUUAUCCUAUAGUGAUAAUAGGUAAUAACGGAAUAGUUAAUUCCCUUCUUCCUCUAUAUCAACAGUAAAUUCCAUGUUUAGUUGUGAAACUUUAAAAUUGAUUAAAAUGCAUUGGUUAUUGUAGAAUCGAUUGUUUGACGGGUAUAAAUUGGACGGGAGUCUACAUAUUGGCUAAAGGAGUAUUGAGGUGAGUUGAUAUAACCCUAUAUUAAAGUGGUUUAACUCACAAAAGCACGCACACAAGGUGUUUCAUGAAUUGCAUAAAAGAGUUUGUAUAUACUUAAUUGUAGUAGUAAAUACCUAUUAGCUUAGAAUUAUUUUCUAGCUAAAGUUUAGAUGAUUAUUCAGAUAUAUGUGUAUAAACUUUAGAUUUUUAUGUUAUUCUUUGUACUUAAUUGGAGUAGUAAGUACCUAUUAACUUAUAACUAUCUUCUAGCUAAAGUUGAGAUGAUUAUUUGGAUAUAUGUGCAUAAACUUCAGAUUUUUAUGUUAUUCAUAUAUGCCAUUUUCACGUUGAAAAUUCAUGAAGGAUCAAGAACCUUUAUAAAUACUUUUGAAUGUUUAUUUCAUUCUUAUGUCAUGCCUUAUAUAUAAGGAUACCAGUAUGGGUAUGUAAAAAAGAUUUAGACUUGAAAAGUCACAUGAAGAAGUUUUAGAAAGAAAAGAUUUUUGGGAGUAUCCUUUGUUCUAAGAAGGGGUCAUCGUCUAGGCCGAGGGUCCUCACCAAGGCGUUGACUUCCUGAAACUACUUGUGCCAAAGUAGGGAACACAUGAGCCGAGGGUCUCAUUGUUGAGAAUUUACUUAGCCAUGCUAAAUUAUGAUACAUGAGCGCUGAAAACCAUGAAGUGAGUGGCACCUCGUGGAUUGGGCCUAUUCGAUCAGGUUGGGAUCGAACCCGUGCCGAUCACACGGUGACUAAGACAGAAUUAAGUCAUGAUGGUUGGAACUCCCAAAGUAUAAAGUGAAGUAUUUUUUUAUAAGAAAGAAUAAGAAAAGAAUUUCUUUUAGAAUAUUCAUAAAAUGCUAUUAUGCAACUAUUUAGAAUUAUUCUUAUAAGGUUUAUAUUUUACAUUCAUUUAGAACCUUUGCUCAUAACUCAUAUUUUAUUAAAGUUUCGCCCCUUGUUUUUGAGACUCACUGAGUACAAUAGAUGGUAUUGACGUUCUCUUUGGGAACCUAUGUUGGUCUAGGUACAAUGUAGGAACCAGAUUUGCAGGCGAGCAGGCUACAAGUUGGGACUUCCUUCUCUUCUAGUGCUAUUGGUGAGCUCCGCUUUUGUUCGUGGAGUAUUCUUUUGAGUCAUAUUUAUUUAGUUAUUUCUUUUAUUACUUAGAGAACUGGCCAGGAAAUCUCAUAUCCUGAGCAGUGCGUCAGUUUAUCAGUAGAGGUUUCAUAGACAUAGUCAUUGGGUUGAGAUUCAAAUAUUUUUUCUAUAUGUAACUUAGUAGUAAUUCAGUAGUUACUACGAAUAAAUUUUGGUGUUGAUUUGUUUAAAUAAUUAAAUUAACCAAAAGUAUUUGGUUAGAGUAUUGCCUUGUUGCAUAUAAAGUUUGGAGCUAUAAUAGAUUUAAUAAGCAGAGAUGGUUUUCUCGAUCAUGUUUAGUGAUCGAGUGUUGGUCUCGAUUUGUUCAGAAAAAUGGGUCGUGACAAACUUGGUAUCAGAGCCAGGUUUACGAGGUCCUAGGGGUCUACAAAGCCGUGUUAGUAGAGUCUUGUUCUGGGUAUGGAGCACGACACACUUAUACACAGGAGGUUACAAGCAUUUAAAAAAAAAAUCUCAUUUUUAAUACUUUACAUCGUGCAGUAGAUCCUACCUCUAUGAAAUUAUCUAAUGUAUUUGUUCUCCUAAACUCGCAGAAAUGGCUCGUACUCAUAAAUCUGACACCGACGCUCAGGAUUUUGCUUAGGAAACUAUUGCUACUAUCGUGGCUCAGGCAGAGCUAAAAAGGCUCCAAUUUAGAAAAGGAAGGGUAAAUCCACAAGGGGGUUCAAGUACCCAGGUUGAACCUGAAGAAGGGGUAACAACAGCUCCGACUCAAACAACUAUUUCCCCAGAGGUAGGUCAGAUGUUCAAUGCAGUCAACAGUGCUAUGAGGAUGUUUAAAGCCUUUAUGGCCAACCAAAAUGAGAGAAGAGAUAAGAUUCCACCUCAAUCAAAUAGACAGAACAAUUUUGAGUCCUCAAGAGUGAAUGAAUUUUUGAAGUUGAGUCCUCCAGUGUUCCAUGGUUCUAUAGUUGAUGAAGAUCCAAUGUAAUAGAUGGACGGUGUUAAGAAAGCCCUCCGAGUAAUGAAAGCAUUUGAUGACAAAGUUGUAGAGCUGGCUACUUACCAGCUUAGAGAUGUGGCUGGCGCUUGGUUUGAGAUGUGGGCAAGGAGAGAGAUGAAGAUGAUGAUCCACCUACUUGGGAAGAAUCUGAAGAGGCCUUCAUAGCUAACUUUAUCGCAGAAGAGGAUACGACAUCUAAGGAUACAUAAUUCGAACAACUCAAGCAAGGGAAUAAAAGUGUGCAAGAGUAUUACAUGGAAUUCAUUAGGUUAGCUAUGCUUGCUCCUUACAUGGUUAAGACAGAAAAACAAAGAUUCGCAAGUUUGUUGGCGGUUUGGCCUACCAUAUUAAGGAUACGACAUCAGCUACAGUGAAAGGAAUGACAUCUUUCUCAUCUGUUGUGGGGUUCGGCAAGCACUGAGAAAAAGACAAACAACAAAGGAGAGAAGAGAGCCCGGACAACGCGUAGGUUUAAUGGUACAUCCAAUGGAGGUGGAAGGGAUUCCUGUAAUAAGGAGUCAUUAGCACCAGUUCAGUCCAGUCAUCAGUGAGGUGGUGAGUCUCCCUUCAGAUGUACUCAGAGUUAUGGGAAUCAGUCUCGCCAGAAUCACAAUUUUAGGACAUCAUCCUCAUAUAGCCAGAGUCAUGCUCAUGCUGAACAACAUUCACACCAGCAAGGUAUUUGUGGGACGUGUAAGCGGCAACAUUCAGGUCAGUGCAAGCUCGGGUUUCAUGGUUUCUAUCAUUGUGGAGACAUUGGUCAUAUAAAGGCUAACUGCGCAAAAUUGCGACGUAAUUUCAGUGGUGGAUCAACUCAUCCUUCUAGUUCCUCAACUACUGCAGUUGCACCACCUCAGACUCGUGGUUCUCAUAAUCAGUUCGAGCAUAGAGCAGGCAGAAGUGCAGACCGAGUUACUCAGGGAGGGAGACAACCUCGUUUGUUUGCUACACUUGAUCGUCAGAGUGCAGAGGCAUCUCCAGAAGUUAUUACAGGUAUACUUUUAGUCUGCUCACAUAAUGCUUAUACCAUAAUGGAUCCAGGUUCAACGUUUUCAUAUGUGACUCCAUACUUUGCAAUUAACCUCGGACUAGAAUUUGAAAAGCUUAGUGAGCUAUUCCUAGUAUCUACUCCAGUUACCGAGUCAGUGAAAAUCACAAGAUUCUAUAGAGGUUGUAUAGUUUCAGUCCAAGGUCGCAACACCAAAGCUGAUCUUAUAGAGUUAGAAAUGGUGGAUUUCGAUGUGAUCAUGGGUAUGGAUUGGUUAUUUUCCUACUAUGCCAUGUUAGAUUGUCAUACCAAGAUAGUCAGGUUCCAAUUUCCAAUUGAAGAAGUCUUAGAGUGGAAGGGUAGUUCAGCAUUACUUGUAGGUAAGUUUAUAUUUUACCUUAAGGCACGACGGAUGAUCGGUAAGGGGUGUCUCACCUAUUUGGCUCACAUUAUUAAUCCGGGAUCAGAACCACCAGCUCUUCAGUCAGUGCCAGCUGUAAGAGAAUUUCCAGAAGUUCUCCUAGAUGAUCUUCCCAGACUUCCCCCCGAAAGAAUUAUAGACUUUGGCAUUGAUCUCAUGCUAGGCACUCAGCCCAUAUCUAUACCUCCUUAUAGGAUGGCUCCAGCAGAAAUUAAUGAGUUGAGAGAAUAGUUGAAAGACCUUAUUGACAAGGGCUUCAUCUGUUUGUCAAGAAGAAAGAUGAGUCUCUCAGAAUAUGUGUCGACUAUCGGCAGUUGAAUAAAGUUACUAUUAAGAACAAGUAUCCACUGCCAAGAAUUGAUGAUUUAUUUGAUCAACUUCAGGGUGCAAAGUACUUUUCAAAAGUAGACUUGAGGUCGGGAUACAAUCGGUUGAGGAUCAGAAAAGAUGAUAUAUCUAAAACAACAUUUAGAAAUCGCUACGGGCACUAUGAAUUUUUAGUGAUGUCCUUCGGGUUGACAAAUGCUCCAGCUGCAUCCAUGGACCUCGUGAACAGAGUUUUCAAGCCAUUUCUGGACACGUUUAUUAUUGUGUUUAUAGACGAUAUUUUGGUGUACUCUAAGAGCAAGAAAGAUCAUGCAGAACACCUCAGAAUAGCAUUGCAGACCUUGAAGGAGAAUGAGCUUUUUGCCAAGUUUUCAAGGUGAGUUCUGGUUGCAGUCAGUGGCAUUCUUCGGCCAUGUGGUAUCUAGUGAAGGAAUAAAAGUAGACCCCCAGAAGACAAAAGCAGCCAAGAACUGGCCUAGGCCGACAACGCCAACUGAAAUUAGGAGUUUCUUGGGGUUAGCUGGCUACUAUAGAAGGUUUGUGGAGGGGUUUUCCUCAGUUGCAGCUCCAUUAACUAAGUUGACUCAGAAAGCAGUUAAGUUCGAACGGUCAGACGCUUGUGAGCAGAGUUUUCAAAAAUUAAAGAAGAGGUUGAACACUACACCUGUGCUUACCUUGCCGACAAGUUCGGGUGGGUUCACAGUGUAUUGUGAUGCCUCCAGUGUGGGCCUUGGUUGUGUUCUUAUGCAAAAUGGAAAAGCUAUUGCUUAUGCUUCCAGGCAGUUAAAGAAUCAUGAAAAGAACUACCUUACACACGACUUGGAGCUUGCAGCAGUGGUGUUUGCAUUAAAAAUAUGGAGACACUACCUUUAUGGUGAGCAUUCUGAUAUAUUUACAGACCACAAAAUCCUCCAGUACAUUUUUAAGCAAAAAGAACUAAAUUUGAGACAGAGAAGGUGGCUCGAGCUAUUGAAAGAUUAUGACAUCAAUAUCCUUUAUCACCCGGGCAAAGCUAAUGUGGUAGCAUAUGCACUUAGUAGGAAGUGAAUGGGCCAUCUUGCAGUACAAAGGCAAUCUUUGAGCUGAGAAAUUCAAAAACUAGAAAAUGAUGGAAUUAGAUUGGACGAGACCGAAGAAGGAGAUAUAAAUGCUUAUGCCUUAGCGCAAUCCUCCCUUGUUGCCCAUGUUAAGGCUAAGCAAGACGAAGAUCCGUACUUAGUGAAAUUAAAAGGAGUCAGAAGCAAAGAAAUCACCGCUCUCACUCUAGGAAUUGACGGAGUUUUGAAGUUGAAAGAUUGGUUAUGUGUGCCCGAUGUAGAUGGUCUUAGGAAGACCAUAAUGGAGAAAGCUCACAGUUCGAGGUACUCUAUCCACCCAGGUGCUACCAAAAUGUAUCUAGAUUUGAAAGAUUUGUAUUGGUGGAAAGGCAUGAAGAAACAAGUAGCAGAUCAUGUGGCUAAAUGUUUAAAUUUCCAACAAGUUAAAGCCGAGCAUCAGAGGCCUGGUGGCCAAGCUCAAGACAUAGAGAUACCACAGUGGAAGUGGGAGAUGAUCAAUAUGGAUUUCGUAGUAGGUCUACCUCGCAUAUAUUGUAAACAUGAUUCAAUUUGGGUUAUUAUAGACCGACUAACAAAGUUUGUGCAUUUCCUACCAAUAAAGACGACAGAUUUCGCAGAGCAGUAUGCGUAGUUGACAUCAAAUAAAUAGUCCGCAUAUCUUACCAGUAAAGACGACAGAUUCCACAGAGCAGUAUGAGUAGUUGUACAUAAAGGAAAUAGUCCGAUUGCAUGGUACUCCGGUUUCAAUCAUAUAUGACAGAGGCCCUCAGUUCACGGCGCAUUUUUGGCAGGCAUUUUCAGAAAAGAUUAGGUACCAAAGUCAAUUUAAGCACCGCUUUUCAUCCACAGACCGAUGGCAAGGCAGAAAGUACCAUUCAGACUCUCGAAGAUAUGCUGCGUGCGUGUGUUAUAGAUUUUGGAGGUAAUUGGGAUGAUCACUUGCCACUUAUAGAAGUUGCGUACAAUACGAGCUAUCAGGUCAGCAUUGGUAUGGCUCCUUAUGAAGCAUUGUAUAGGAGGAGAUGUAGGUCUCCAGUGGGUUGGUUUGAACUCGCAGAGGUGCCGUUGAUUGGUCCAGAGUUUGUUUGCGAGGCCUUGGAGUUCAGCUAAAUAGAGAAAGACUUAAAGCAGCUCAUAGUCGUCAAAAGUCUUACAAGAGGCAUCGUGUGUUAGAGUUCAUGGUUGGUGAUAAGGUAUUUUGAAAGUGUCACCAAUGAAAGGAGUUAUAAGGUUUGGUAAGAAAAGGAAACUUAGCCCUAGAUUUAUCGGACCUUAUGAAAUUCUAGAAAAGAAGGGAAACGUGGCGUAUAACAUAGCGCUACCUGUUGAGUUGUCCUCUGUUCAUCCCGUCUUUCAUGUGUCUAUGCUUGGAAAGUACAUCCAUGAUGAGUUGCAUAUAAUACCUGUCGAUACCAUAGAAAUUAGGGAAGGCCUAACUUAUGAAGAGGUACCUAUAGAAAUUCUCGAUAGGCAAGUAAGAAAGUUGAGAACAAAAGAUAUAGCAUUGGUAAAGGUUUUGUGGAGUAAUCAUGAUUCAAAAUAGGCUACGUGGGAGGUCGAGGAAGAUAUGAGAAAUAAAUAUCGAUAUUUUUUUGAGGAAAGAAGUAUGAGAACCUAAGUUUUGUUUGGCAUUUAUAUUUCAUUUAUUAAAUACAAGUUAGCAAUUGUUUCUGUCCUUCCUAGAUUAUACUUAGUUGUUGUAGUAAUUUAGUCUAUGCCGUAGUAUAUUUAAUUCAUUGAAGUAAUUUGCUUGUGCUAAAGUUGUUGUGCUUGAUUCUUGUUAGUUAUUGUGAUGCCUCCUUGCCGGAGUGUGACUAACUAAUUUAUGAGUUGCGUACAGUGCCUAUGAAUGGCCUGUUAUAGUAUAUUUGGUUGUUGUUGAUGUAGUGGUAUUUGUGACAGAGAUAUUUUUUGGAUAGUCCAUUUACAAGGAAAACUCUGCCGAAAUUUUUGAAAAUUUAGGGAGUUAGCCAAAAUUUUGAGUCUCUUGGAAGAAUGAGUAGUGCUAAAGAAACUUAAGAGGUUCAAGGACCUAAAGGAUGAUUGUUAGCUUAAGAAUAAGGGCCUAGUAACAUUCGAGGACGAAUAUUUUAAGGAGGGAAGAUUAUCACAUUGCUCUAAUUUAUAUAAAUUUUAAGGCUCGUUAAAUGUAGAAUUUAAUUUUUUUGUCUUCCUUAUGGAUUUAAACCCUUGUAAUUGAUUUUUGAAUUACUUCCCAAUUUAUAUAAAUAGUUGGAUAUAUAAUUAUGGGAAUAUUAAUAGUUUAACAUUUUAAAUUAUUAAAAAUGGAUAUCAUUAAUUAUUAAUUAAGUAAAAAAAACAAAUAACAAAAGAAAAUUGGAAGGGACAUUACAAAGCCCAUAAAGGGCUGUUGGAAUAAAAAAAAGGGCUUAAGGCCUAAAAAAGGCCUAACCUUGGACGUAAGCAGUAGGAGUAAAAAUUGCACAGGAACAAAACGUUAUUCUAUUCGCAAAAAACACAGCAAAAGGCAACAAAAAAGAAAAUCUAGGGUUCUUUACCAAUCUCUAAUUCUUGAACUCAGGUAAGUAAAUUUCCGUAUUGUCAAUUAUCCUAAAGUGGUAAUAGGUAAGAAUGGAAUGGUUAAUUCCCUUCUUCCUCUAUAUCAACAGCAAAUUCCAUGUUCAGGUGUGAAACUUUAAAAUUGAUUAAAAUGUACUGGUUAUUGUAGAAUCGAUUGUUUGACGGGUAUAAAUUGGACUCGAGUCUAAAUAUUGGCUCAAGGAGUAUUAAGGUGAGUUGAUAUAACCCUCUAUUAAAAUGGUUUAACACAUAAAAGCACGCACACAAGGUGUUUGAUGAAUUGCAUAAAAGAGUUAAUAUAUACUUAAUUGGUGUAGCAAGUACCUAUUAGCUUAGAAUUAUUUUCUAGCUAAAGUUUAGAUGAUUAUUUGGAUAUAUGUGCAUAAGUUCCAGAUUUUUAUGUUAUUCUUUGUACUUAAUUGGAGUAGUAAGUACCUAUUAGCUUAGAAUUAUCUUCUAGCUAAAGUUUAGAUGAUUAUUUGGAUAUAUGUGCAUAAACUUCAGAUUUUUAUAUUAUUCAUAUAUGCCAUUUUCAUGUUGAAAAUUCAUGAAGGAUCAAGAACCUUUAUAAAUACUUUUGAAUGUUUAUUUCAUUCUUAUGUCAUGCCUUACAUUUAAGGAUACCAGUAUGGGUAUGUAUAAAAGAUUUAGACUUGAAAAGUCACUAGAAGAAGUUUUAGAAAGAAAAGAUUUUUGGGAGUAUCCUUUGUUCUGAGAAGGGGCCAUCGUCCGGGUCGAGGGUCCUGACCAAGGCGCUGACUUCCUGAAACUACUUGUGCCAAAGUAGGGAACACACGAGCCGAGGGUCGCAUUGCUGAGAAUUUACUUAGCCAUGCUAAGGUAUGAUACAUGAGCGUUGAGAACCAUGAAGCGAGUGGCACCUUGUGGAUUGGGCCUAUUCGAUCAGGUUUGGAUCGAGCUUGUGCCGAUCACACAGUGACUGAGACAGAAUUAAGUCAGGAUGGUUGGAACUCCCAAAAUAUAAAGUGAAGUGACUUUUUUAUAAGAAAGAAAAAGAAAAGAAUUUCUUUUAGAAUAUGCAUAAACUGCUAUUAUGCAAUUAUUUAGAAUUAUUCUUAUAAGGUUUAUGUUUCACAUGUAUUUAGAACACCUUUGCUCAUAACGAAUAUGUUUUUAAAGUUUCGCCCCUUGUUGUUGUGACUCACUGAGUACAAUGGAUGGUACUAACGUUCUCUUUUGGGAACCUAUGUUGGUCUGCGGUACAACGUAGGAACCGGAUUUGCAGGCAAGCAGACUACGAGUUAGGACUUCCUUCUCUUCCAGUGCUAUUGGUGAGCUCUGCUUUUGUUCGUGGAGUAUUUUUUUGAGUCAUAUUUAUUUAGUUAUUUCUUUGUUUACUUAGAGAACUGGCGGAAAUCUCAUGUCCUGAGCAGUGCGUCAGUUUAUCACUAGAGGUUUAUAGACAUAGUCAUUGGGUUGAGAUUCAGAUAUUUUUUCUAUAUAUAGCUUAGCAGUAAUUCAGUAGUUACUACGAAUAAUGUUUUGGAGUUGAUUUGUUUAAAUAAUUGAAUUAAUCAAAAGUAUUUGGUUAGAGUAUUGCCUUGUUGCAUAUAAAAUUUGGAGUUAUAAUAGAUUUAAUAAGCAGAGAUGGUUCGCUCGAUCAUGUUUAGUGAUCGAGUGCCGAUCUCGAUUUGUUUAGAAAAAUGGGUCGUGACAGGCAUGGAAUAAUUUAGUGUUUCUCUCUCCCUCAUUAAACCAAGUCAUGGCAGAUUUUUAUUUCCAGAAUUGUUGUUCUAAAGCCAAGUAUUCAAACAAAUCUGAUUGCACUUUAUGUAGCCUUUCUCUAUUCUGUAUGGUAGGAUUUAGUUCAAACUGUGCCUCAUGGACCAUAACCACAUAUUCUAAACUUGAGAUCUUUUGGAAAAUGUCACCAUAUGUUUCAUUGCUCCAGGAUGAUAAUGCCUUCUUCAGUUUUUUGAGCUUGUGGUUGAACAUGACAAAAGGAUUUGCAUAGAAAUCUACUUGCCAGUUUUCCUUUACAACUGACAGGAAUGAUUCAUGCUUUGUCCAAAAUGAUAAAAAUCUGAAGCUCUUCUUGAUCUGGACUGCAUUUGGAUUACAUGUGAUCAGUAAUGGAUGGUGAUCAGAUCCUGUUUUUGAUAGGUCUUCUAUUUCACUUCCUGGCCAUAACUGUUGUAAUUCUAUAUUCGAAAAACACUUAUCUAAUCUCUUGAAUAUGCAAUAUUCUUCGGCUCUUCCAUUCCACCAAGUGUAUAUACUGGCUUUGAACCCCAAAUCAGUCAAAUUACAUGUGUUCAUACAAUGCCUAAAAUCAUCUACCUCUUUCAAAGAAACUGGUAGGCCUCAAAAUUUCUUCUCUUCAUCCCACAUUACAUUGAAAUCCCCCACAUCCAUGGUAUAGUCAUAUCACUAGCUAGGUAAUACAGAGAAUCCCAUAGCUCAAUUCUCUCAAUAUGAUCACACUUAGCAUAGACUAAAGCGAGCAUGAAUUCCUUCUCCUCCGCAGUAUCAAAAAGUCUCAAAGUCAGUUGUUGUAUAGAAUUGAUCUCUACUGUAACAUCAUACUUCCCAUCUAUGAAGGCCUAUAUCUUGUUGGAAAUGUUCACAAAGACGUGCGCAAAAUCUAUUUGCCUCCUGUAUCUAUCAAGUUCCCUUGAUUGUUGCAUUGGCUCCAUUACUUAUAUGAAAUAAAAAUGGCACUUUCUAUGCAUUGUUAUGAGUCUUUAAAAAGCUCUUUGGGUAUUUACUGAUCUAAUAUUCCAUAUUCAGGCAUUCAUCUUAGUUGAUUGAUCUAGACACUGUCCUCCUUGUUUGAACUCCAGGUGGCUUCAUAGAAUUGUCCUCCAGUUGCUUCUUUUUGCCUCGACCAGCUAACAUUCCUUUUUCAAUCUGCAUAGGAGAUAGGUCUCCUUGCCUAGCCACAUUCUUGAAGUUUUGGCAAGUUGAUUCUGCAUCUAGAUCUCUGCCCUUGCCUGCAGUAUUUCUCUUCCACAUCUUUCUGAUUUUUAGUUUGUACAAUCUGUUUUUUAACAGGCUUAGGCAGCAAUGAUUUUUCAGCAUUCUCCUUAUUCUUCUACUCAGCAUCACUUGUAUUCUUUAUAGCUAUAAUGUCUUCUGAAUUCUGCAACAGAUCCAUCUUAUCAAGUUCUGCAACCUCCCCCCUUUUAUCUAUCAUAUUCUGCUUCUCACCUCCACCAGGAUCACCGGGGUCACUUGGUUUCUCAGAAUCUACAUUAGGACCAGUACUAUAUUGCUGCAUUUUUUAACUUGAGCAUUCCAUACCAGUUGCAGCAUCAGAAUUUUUUGUUGUCUUAUCAAUGUGCUGCACAUCCUCUUUGUUAGUUUUCCUAUUGACACUUGUUUCUUCUCCCUUUGGAUCAUCUUCAUCUUCCAUCGUAUUGUUUUCUUCCUCUUCAUAUCCUUCAGACAAAUCUCCUUCAUCUGAGUCAUCCUCUCCCUACUUACACCAUAAUCUUCCACCUAUGAAAUUAAUUUUUUCUUUCAAAAUGUUCUGUUAAGCAAGUGCAUCAGUAUCUACUGAUUGUAAGGGAAUUUCCGGGUAAGAUUGAUUCAUGGUCACAGUCUGUAGGAAAUGCUCUACUGAUCCAUUGAGCUGUGGAUUCCUUAUUAAUAUUAUGUGCCUGGUCCACCUCCACAGUGCCUUCUUUUGUAAUAUUUGUGUCCUUUACUGCAUUGACUUCAUUUGAAGUAGGGAUAAAAAUAGGUGCUGCAGGGUUCAAAAUUUUCCCAGUCUGCUCAAAGGCUGGUGUUUUUUGCACAUUGUUAUCAUUCACAGCUUGUAGCUAUUUAUUCCUCUCUACCUCAGUACCAUUGGUGACUUCUGUAGUUGCUGCUACGGCUUCUUUUUGAACAUUAACAGGACUUUUUUGAGCUGUAUUUGCCUCUACUAAAGAUAGCUCAUGAGCCUCAUUUUCUUUACCAUCAUCCUCCUCCAACACAGCAUACUUGUUAGUCAUUGCAAUUGUUUUACUGCAGCAUUAUCCACAGCAACUAUUUCUUUCCCAGCUGCAUCAUUGCCUUCACCUUGUAUACCUUUGUUUUGUCCUCUAUUAUCUCUAACUUCCUUCCACUGAGGGCCUACAUUACCAACCACCUUGCCACUGCUAAGUAUCAUCAGUGGAGCAGCCUGUUUCUCUUUUUCUUUACUGCCUUGUACCACAGUUUCUCUAGCAACCUGCUGCUCGACAUUUUUAUUGUCCAUUAACUCCGGAUGAAUUCUCUAACAUUCAAGCAUGUCAUGGCCUUGUAACUUGCACUCUUUAGAGUACUUUGGCAAAUAAUCAUACCUGACUGUUACCCACUCAGUUCUAACAUCUCCUGUUGCCUCAUUAACAAUGUCCAUACACAGCUUUUUAGGAAGAUCAUCUAACAGGUCAACUAGCACCUUAAGUUUUUCACAUCUUGGCCUUGUCUUAUUAAUCGUAGCCAAAUCAAGAUGAAGUGGCUUUCCAACAGCAGAAGCGAACGAGAAAAGGCAUUCUUUAACAAAGUAUGUUGGUAGCAAAUUUGGAAACGAAAUCCACGCGCCAUUACCUUAGGUGUUUCCUCCCCGGCUUUGAAUUUAGCAUCAUCGAUCAAAGCUCUCAAUUGUUAUUCAUGACCAUACUUGUCUUUCACAUAAUACACACCCUUCGAUGUAAAAUCAGUAAAAUCUUGCCAUAACGUUAAUCGUAUUAACACGUCUUUCACGAAGGUAUCCAAUAUUACACUAUUUUGACGUGGUUCCCUGCACAGCUACAUUGAUCAUAGAUGGUUUCAGAAUAUUCGAAUAAUUUAAGGGCUUGGGUAUUAGUGUAGUGUUGUUAGGGAUGGUGGGGGAUGCUUUGGGGNNNNNNNNNNNNNNNNNNNNNNNNNNNNNNNNNNNNNNNNNNNNNNNNNNNNNNNNNNNNNNNNNNNNNNNNNNNNNNNNNNNNNNNNNNNNNNNNNNNNNNNNNNNNNNNNNNNNNNNNNNNNNNNNNNNNNNNNNNNNNNNNNNNNNNNNNNNNNNNNNNNNNNNNNNNNNNNNNNNNNNNNNNNNNNNNNNNNNNNNNNNNNNNNNNNNNNNNNNNNNNNNNNNNNNNNNNNNNNNNNNNNNNNNNNNNNNNNNNNNNNNNNNNNNNNNNNNNNNNNNNNNNNNNNNNNNNNNNNNNNNNNNNNNNNNNNNNNNNNNNNNNNNNNNNNNNNNNNNNNNNNNNNNNNNNNNNNNNNNNNNNNNNNNNNNNNNNNNNNNNNNNNNNNNNNNNNNNNNNNNNNNNNNNNNNNNNNNNNNNNNNNNNNNNNNNNNNNNNNNNNNNNNNNNNNNNNNNNNNNNNNNNNNNNNNNNNNNNNNNNNNNNNNNNNNNNNNNNNNNNNNNNNNNNUGGACCAGCCAUUGUUGAGGGCUGGUAGCCGGCCAGAUUGGCCAUGAACGACCAAAUAAAAGCUGUUCGCAACUGUCUUCUCUAUUUCGCCUGUCGCCAGAGCAAAUAGGUUUUUCAACUAUCUCCAGUUGUUUUAUGAAUUGUUUAAUUUGCACAGUUACUUGGACCCCACCAUAAGCACCAAACUGUUUAACUUAAAUUAUGACUAAUAGACUAUGUCAAUUAAAUUAAUAAAAUUAGGCCUCAAACAAUUAAUUCAAUCCAAUUAAGUUGAUCUUUGUUAAGAGAAGACGGAUAAGUUAAGCUGAUAAUUGUAAAUAAGGACAAUAUGGACAAGAACAAUCUUAAAGUAUUUAAAAAGAAAGAAAGAGCUUCUUAUAGAUGAUCCUUUUCUUGAUCUAGUAGCUUCUCGUGGUUAAAGAAGAGCAGUAUUAAUUCCAUAAUAACAGUGAUAAUGCGUGAAUCAGAAUAAGUACAAAUGAGGAAAGAGGGGUAUUUAUACUCUAACUAGUGAACUUAUCGCGUUUCGAGUGAUUAUUUUGUUAAAGAAAUUAAUAGAUUUAUGGUAUACUUAUGUUAAUUGGAUCGAGGUAGAUAAAGAAAAUUAUGAGAAAUAUUAGUCUCAUCAAUGCGAAUAAUGUCUCUAUUAAUGUCAUACUGACAAUUAUGCAGGCAAGUAAAACAUAAAGUCUGUUGCCUAAAUUCUUUUUAAAAAAAAAAUAAACUCGUCCUUGGUGCAUGACACUCUCUAGAUGUCUUAAUACACAUUUCCUGUUCUUUUUUGUCGGAAAGAUAAUAUAUAUCAUAUAAAACUUAAACAGGUACAUCACACAUGUUUAGUAGAUGCACAAGAGGCAUCUUUUGUACAAAAGUGGAGUUUACAUGGCUUAUACUAGUACUAGUGUUAAAAGUAGACAAUACCGUAGUAAUAGUAGAUGGCACACUUCCAGAUACAGAGAGUGAUUGUGCUGAAGCAGUAGAGCUAGUCUUAAUUAAUCUUCUUUGUAACGUGCCCUGUUGAUCUUGUUUGUAAGAGGGCAUAGCAAAAAUUGGUGGUUUUCCAAAAAGUAUGCAUUUUUCCUUUAUAUGUAUGGCUCCAUAUGUAGCUAGGCUAUUAGCAACACAGUUCUGCUCUUUGUAGAUAUGUUGUAGAGGUGGACUAUUCAGUUAUAGGAGUAACAACCUGCAAUCGUCAAUAAUAUUAAUAUAUUAUAGUGUAGGUGAAUUUAAACAUACCUAUAACUGUUUGGAUCAGUUUCAACGUCGAGUGGCUUAAGCUGCCUCUGUACAACAAUUUUGAGCCUCAUGAAAAGUGCAAGAAGUUCCGUUUGAACAGUCGUUCCUUCUUGUGUGGUUCCUGAUAAUCCAGUUUCCUUGUAUGUUCUUAAAAACACCACCAAUACCAUAUUUUCCCUUACACGGGGAACACGACCCAUUAAUAUUCAAUUAAAAGUGGCUUGAUUUGGUGGAUAUCAUUUUAUAUAAACGGGUGUUAGAGAAUGAAGUUUUAUUGAAGGAUUUGUUAGAAAGUAAAAUUCGGCAGCAGUCUGAUAUAUUAAGAGUAGAUUUUUGUUUUUCAAGUAAUUGUUUAUUUCUUACUGACCAAAGGUGCCGCAUAGCAAAUGGAAUUAGUAUUCUGCAUGGAAUACUUUGAGGAGUUGAUGAGGAGGGUGUGUUUACAAGUUGGUGCAACCAAACUUAGAGUAGUAUGUUGUGACAUAGGAUUAUUAAUGGUAAUAAUUGAGAUCCGUAGAGCUGUCCAAAGCUGUCUAGCAUGAGGAUAUUCCAAAAAUAUAUGGGGUAUUAUUUCAGGGCCCCUAGUGCAUUGUUGGCAUAUGGCUGAAUCAAUGAUACUUAGUCAUCCAAGAUACACGGCUAUUGGAAGUCUAUCAUGGCAUAUUAACCAUAAAAAGAACCUUAUUUUUGGUGAAAUGUGGAGUUUUCAAAUCCAUCUAUAGGACUGAGAAGUGUGUAUGAUAAUAGGAUGUGUAUUUUGUACAAAAGCAUUGUAUAUAGAUUUGGGUGUAAAUUUACCAUUGUCUAUUAGAGCCCAGUAAAUUUGAUCAGGCAAAUCAUGUGUGGUAGGCAUGUAAAUAUUACCAAUUAGUGAUUGUAACCUUGCUAGUAAAGUAAAAGGUAAUGUGUCUAAAUGCCAUGUAUUAUUAUAGUAAUAAUUUGAGACUAAUUUCCUCUCUUCAUGUUGUGGUAGUGGUCCUUAUAUAUAGUUACAAAGUGUGUUAUUUUGGAGGAUCCAUGGAUCAGUCGAAAACCUAACAUGUUAUCCAGUCGUAAGAUUUCACUUAUACCCUAGACGACAGUAGGACCAUCCUUUCAUAAUGUUGCACCAAGUAUUAGAACCUAGGCCUUUUAGCAGAGAUGGUGGUCGUAGAUUAGUAUGUAAUAAUACUAGUGCCCACAAUUGAUGUGGAUUAUUAAACAUUCUAUAUGCAAGACUUGCAUGUAAUGCUUGAUUCUUGAUACUUAGGUUUUAUAUACCUAAUACUCCUUGGUGGGUAGGUUGGGUAACUUUAGACCAUUUUAUCAAAUGUACUUUUCUCUUUGUGAUGUUGUACACCAAAGAAAGUCUUGUUGAUACCGAUUAAGGUAAGUAAUUAUAUAAAUAGGUAUUUAAUAUAUUGCGUCAGAUGGUUAGGAAGUUGUUUUAUGGUAGAUCUAAUUAGAGUAUUCUUUCCUGCCCUUGAUAAAGAAGUUAUUUUCCAAUCUGCUAGUUUGCUUUUGAAAUUGUCUACCAGAAAGUGAUAAUCCAUUUUUGAUUAUUUGUUUAUAAAGAUGGGAAACCCUAAAUACCUUUCAAAAUAUUUUCCUUCAUCCACAUGAAAUAGUUGGAGAAUACUUUGUUUGAUAGGGGGUUUGCAAUUUUUUAAGAAAUAAAUUUUGUAUUUCUCAAAAUUGAUAGUUUGACCUGAAUAUUUUGUAAACUAAGUGAGAGUAUUAACAAUUGAUUGACAUGUUGUAGCAGCAAUUUGAGAAGUAAGAAUAAUGUCAUAUGAAUAACAAGUGGGAUAACUGAGGUCCCCUUUUUACUAAUGAAAUUGGUAUCCACGCCUAAUAGUCAACUGUCGUGUUUAUGCUUCUUGAUAACAUUUCCAGGCAUAAAAUGAAUAGGUGAGGUGAUAAAGGGUUACCCUGUCUUAUGUCUCUUGUUGGUGUAAAAUAAUCAGUUGGAUAACCAUUAAUUAAUAUUGAAGAAGAAGUAGUAGUGAUGCAAGACAUAAUUAAUUUAAUAAUAUCUUGGGGGAAGUUUAAGCUUGUUAGUGUGUAAAGACCAUUCUAAUUUGUCAAAAGCUUUUUUAAUAUCCAGCUUUAGUAACAUAUUUAAUUUAUUACCCUUGCUUUUUCUUAAAUUACGAAUGAUUUCUUGCACAAUUAUAGCAUUGUCAGUAGCUCUUUUGUUUUUUCUAGAAAGUGCUGACUAGGAUGAGUAAUACACUCUAGUAUUGGUUUUAAUUUGUUCACAAUAAUUUUUAUAAUAAUCUUGUAUAUGGUAUUACAAAGGCUAACAGACUUGUAUUGUGAAAUUAUUGAUGCAUUAUCAUGUUUUGGGAUUAGAUUAAUGUGAGUUGUAUUGAUAGAAGGGUCAAUAUGGUGAUCUUGAAAAACUUUAUGGCAGAAAUAUUUGGCAGAGUUACCAAUAGUGUCCCAAUAUUUUUGGUAAAAUAAAGGAUGAAGGCCAUCUGGUCCAAGAGCUUUGAGAGGUUGAAGGAAUUUAUAGAGUUUGUAAUUUCAUCAUCUUGUAAAGGAUGUAUUAUGCACAGCUGACCCUCGCUUGUUAGGACAUUAUAAGAAAGCACUGUAUUUUUAUGGUACGAUACUGUUUUGUUAGUAGUGAAUAAAUUAUGAUAAAAUGGAGUAAUAUUCUAUUUUAUUUGGUGUGGAUUAGUAAUUU